rnacentral:rRNA from 1 species
UGGGGAAUAUUGCACAAUGGGCGGAAGCCUGAUGCAGCAACGCCGCGUGCGGGAUGACGGCCUUCGGGUUGUAAACCGCUUUCGCCUGUGACGAAGCGUGAGUGACGGUAAUGGGUAAAGAAGCACCGGCUAACUACGUGCCAGCAGCCGCGGUGAUACGUAGGGUGCGAGCGUUGUCCGGAUUUAUUGGGCGUAAAGGGCUCGUAGGUGGUUGAUCGCGUCGGAAGUGUAAUCUUGGGGCGUAACCCUGAGCGUGCUUUCGAUACGGGUUGACUUGAGGAAGGUAGGGGAGAAUGGAAUUCCUGGUGGAGCGGUGGAAUGCGCAGAUAUCAGGAGGAACACCAGUGGCGAAGGCGGUUCUCUGGGCCUUUCCUGACGCUGAGGAGCGAAAGCGUGGGGAGCGAACA